GGGACCCAGUGCCGUAAAUCGGGCGCUUAGUCUGUUUAAAUAACAGGUUGAGAAAGGGCCGGGCAAGACCGGUGCCAGCCGCCGCGGUAAUACCGGCGGCUCGAGUGGUGGCCACUAUUACUGGGCUUAAAGCGUUCGUAGCUGGUCUGUUAAGUCUCUGGGGAAAUCUUCCGGCUUAACCGGAAGGCGUCUCAGGGAUACUGGCAGACUAGGGACCGGGAGAGGUGAGGGGUACUCCAGGGGUAGGAGUGAAAUCCUGUAAUCCUUGGGGGACCACCUGUGGCGAAGGCGCCUCACCAGAACGGCUCCGACAGUGAGGAACGAAAGCUGGGGGAGCAAACCGGAUUAGAUACCCGGGUAGUCCCAGCUGUAAACGAUGCGCGUUAGGUGUAUCGAUGACCACGAGUCAUCGAGGUGCCGAAGAGAAAUCGUGAAACGUGCCGCCUGGGAAGUACGGUCGCAAGGCUGAAACUUAAAGGAAUUGGCGGGGGAGCACCACAACGGGCGGAGCCUGCGGUUUAAUCGGACUCAACGCCGGGAAACUCACCGGAUAAGACAGCUGGAUGAUAGUCGGGCUGAAGACUCUACUUGACUAGCUGAGAGGAGGUGCAUGGCCGUCGUCAGUUCGUACUGUGAAGCAUCCUGUUAAGUCAGGCAACGAGCGAGACCCACGCCAACAGUUGCCAGCUCGUCCUCCGGGAUGGUGGGGACACUGUUGGGACCGCCUCUGCUAAAGAGGAGGAAGGAAUGGGCAACGGUAGGUCAGCAUGCCCCGAAUUAUCCGGGCUACACGCGGGCUACAAUGGGUGGGACAAUGGGUAUCGACACCGAAAGGUGAAGGCAUCUCCUAAACCCAUCCUUAGUUCGGAUUGUGGGCUUAACUCGCCGACAUGAAGCUG
rnacentral:rRNA from 1 species